CUUCCUGAUGUCACCCGGCUCCAGCUGGAGAUAAGCGCAGCUGAUAAACCGCGUGGGCGGUUUUCUCUGGUGCGCCUCCUCACUACCCUGGACUCCUGCAGCAGGGAUGAUCACAAAAGUGGGAGGAAAGAUAUUCACUUCUGGUGGGAAAGAAGUUGAUAUUGCAACCACAUUAGAAGUGUAUGAACAAGCUGGUGGCUCCAUUGCAGCUCCUGGAAUGAAGAGGACUGCUACUCUGAGUAUUGUGAAAUGAUUUGAAAGCUCUGCUUACCUGGGCAUAAAAGGAAGUCAGUUUCCAGGUAUUUCAGGGCAAAUGUUCUUUAUCAAGAAGACAGAACGGGAGGAGAACACAGAAGUGAACUCACUCACUGAAGGUCACAGAGCUUGUCACUGUCAGAACAAGAAAUAGAACCUGGGAUGAAAUCCAAUCCCUUUGGACAUUAAGGGUGCGUCCAGACAAGCACACACAUGCCUCUUUCCCCAUCUCAAACCCCUUUGAGAUGGGGAAAGAGGCACAUGUGGGAAUGAAAAAAUGUUCCCUGCACUGCAAACUUGCAGUGCAGGGAGAAAAUUAGACCCCGGGGGGGGGGGUCUGCCAGGAGACCCCAGAGCACCCCGCAACCCCUGCUUCUAGGCAGGGUCCACGGCACAGCUGGAGCGAGGGAGGAAAUCUGUGCGGGUCAUAAGCCACACCUUUAUCCAGCUGAAACCAGCCAGUGACAUCAUCAGCAAUCACCGGCCAGUGGAGGUAAAAAGGAUCAUGAGGGAAGAUGGGAGGAGGAGAAGUCAGAGAGAACUCUCAAGCCGGGUGACAUGAGGGAUACUCCUGGAGUGAGAGAGCCAGCAGGGGCUCUCUGUGCCAGCAGAGAUCGGCAUGACAAGGAGGCAGAGGAGCCAGAGGAGGCUCUCUGUACUGGCAGAGGUGGGAGCAUCAGAGGAACAAGACAGCCAGAGGCAGGAGCAUCAGACGAAUGGGAGAAGCAGAGGAGGAUCUCUGCACCAACAAAUGUUGGAGCAUCAGGGGGACGAGAGAGCCAGAGGAGGCUCUCCCUCCUGGCAGGAAUGGCUGUGAGCAGCAAAAGAGGCUGUGGAACAGAACGGCAAGAGGCAGGGCACUGACAUCUAGUAUAGAAGGUGGCCAGCCACUUGAGAAAGUACCACAGGAUGUCGGUAGUGGAACGCCUCCAACAGCAUCUGAGGAGGGUAGUGGGAGAAAUGACCCGGGACGAGGGUCUGUGACCAACCCUGGCCAGACGAUGGGUCAGCCCCAGUGAGAUUCUAGGGGUGAAGUGAUGCCCUGAUAUCCUAGCAAUAGGGCUGGGGGGAGGAAACCGGAUGGGUCCUUCCCAGCUUUUAGUUUGUUUUGGCUCCUUUUUGUUUUCCCCCUUUUGGAGGGGCUGAGAGAUAGGGUGACGCGGCACAGGCAAGACAACUCUACACUGCCUUUCUUUUCCUUUUCUUUGAUUGAUGGUUAAAUUUAGAUUCCCAGGCCUGAUACUGCUUUAGGGCAAGCGGAGGGUCUGCUGAAGUCAGAUGGCUAAAUGAUUUGAGUUAUCCCAGGAGGAAGUACUUAAGGCGUAAUAAGGCUAUGAAGAUCAUCAAGCUCAAGAAACACAACAUCACUGGGGUGCGGCUGAAAAGAUCUGGUGACCCGCUGAAAGGUUGGGGUGUAGAGAAGGUGGAGUCCCACGGAUGGCCACCUGGUGGACUCCCUGCUGAAAAGGACACCUGUGUGAUUUGCCCCCCCACUGGAAUAACAUUCAAAGUCAUGGCAGGUGAGUCUGGGGGAGGCCACCUGGGUGAUAACCAUUUACCACCAGGCUUACAGGAAACUGCAGGAUGUUCACUGCCGGCCAGCCGGAACAAAACUGCACGCGACCGAGUGUCUGAAGCCAGGUGGGCACAGGGAGCCGUAGCCCCUGUUUGGGGGCUAUAGCCCCUGUUGGGGGGCCAUAGCCCUUGUAUGGGAGCCAGAGUGACUUUGGGAUUUUUUUUAAUCAGGGAUUUUUCAGUUUUCCAAUAGGGAACAACAGAAUUCCUG